rnacentral:lncRNA from 1 species
UUGGGUGUGCGGGGGCCAGGACAGAGGCUGCAUAAAGGGGGUGUCCCACGGAGUAUCUUGAGAGGAUUGUCAUGUGGUGUCUGUGAUGAGGGAUCACGUGGGUACCUAUGGAAGACCAAAGGAAAGCUGGGUGGGAAUCUCACCAUGUCCGAGGUAGGGAGGAGAUGAUCUCGAAGGAGGGUUCGGAGGCAUCCCCAGGCAUUCCCCUAGGGAAAUGUAUAUUCAGUAGGACAGGUGGGCAAGCAUGUACAUAUAUUCACGUUCAUGUGGUAGAUAGCUCCCAGGAUGCAGAUGCAAUAGGGAGAACAGAAGGAAUGGAGGAUGUUGGUCUCUAUUCCCUGUUUCCAGCUGAGAAAUGGGGACCCAU